rnacentral:lncRNA from 1 species
CUUCCCUAUCGCCGAUGCCUCAAUGCGAUCUUGGGGACAAAUGCAGACGUCUCAAAAGUACCAUGAUUUGCUACAUUACUUACGGAUGAAGGAGAGGGAGACGGAGAGUGCGUGUAGCCGUUACUGAGGUGAUCUCCCUGUGUACUUCUCCUUGUUGCAGCUGGCUGGUGUGUUGGAGCCUCGGUGCGUGACAGCUCAGUCUGUAACUGUACUUCCAAAGGCACACUUCUGCUCACAGAUUCCCCGUUGAGACAAAAUGAACCUGCCGUCCAGAGAGGAGUGUGAGGGUUGGGACUCAUCGCAGGUGGCCUUCUUUAUGUGCAAGAACAACAUGCAAGAAUGUGCUGCCACCGUGGACAGACUGAAAAUGAAUGGACAAAGAUUUCUGAGCCUGUCUGACAGUGACAUCAACAAGUUUACCAUUGUCCACCAACCGUA